rnacentral:rRNA from 1 species
GAGACUGCCGGUGACAAACCGGAGGAAGGUGGGGACGACGUCAAGUCAUCAUGGCCCUUACGAGUAGGGCUACACACGUGCUACAAUGGCCGGUACAGAGGGCUGCAAUAUCGCGAGAUGGAGCUAAUCCCACAAAACCGGUCGUAGUCCGGAUUGGAGUCUGCAACUCGACUCCAUGAAGUCGGAAUCGCUAGUAAUCGUGAAUCAGAAUGUCACGGUGAAUACGUUCCCGGGCCUUGUACACACCGCCCGUCACACCAUGGGAGUGGGUUGCUCCAGAAGUGGCUAGUCUAACCUUCGGGAGGACGGUCACCACGGAGUGAUUCAUGACUGGGGUGAAGUCGUAACAAGGUAGCCGUAGGGGAACCUGCGGCUGGAUCACCUCCUUAAACGA